GGAGAGAUGGCUGAGUGGUCGAUAGCGGCUGAUUGCUAAUCCGUUUAUGGCUUUAAAUGGCCAUACGAGGGUUCGAAUCCCUCUCUCUCCU
rnacentral:tRNA from 1 species